rnacentral:rRNA from 1 species
GACGAACGCUGGCGGCGUGCCUAAUACAUGCAAGUCGAGCGGACUGAAUGGGAGCUUGCUCUUGUUCGGUCAGCGGCGGACGGGUGAGUAACACGUGGGCAACCUGCCCGCAAGACCGGGAUAACUCCGGGAAACCGGAGCUAAUACCGGAUAACACCGAAGACCGCAUGGUCUUUGGUUGAAAGGCGGCGCAAGCUGCCACUUGCGGAUGGGCCCGCGGCGCAUUAGCUAGUUGGUGAGGUAACGGCUCACCAAGGCGACGAUGCGUAGCCGGCCUGAGGGGGUGAACGGCCACACUGGGACUGAGACAAGGCCCAGACUCCUACGGGAGGCAGCAGUAGGGAAUCUUCCGCAAUGGGCGAAAGCCUGACGGGGCGACGCCGCGUGAGCGAAGAAGGCCUUCGGGUCGUAAAGCUCUGUUGUGAGGGACGAAGGAGCGCCGUUUGAAGAAGGCGGCGCGGUGACGGUACCUCACGAGGAAGCCCCGGCUAACUACGUG